UUUGGGGAAAAAUAAUAUCAUCAUUAUAAAAAAAUAAUUAGAGUUAUUUCGCAUAUGCCACAAUUUGAAUUUUCAAAAUCGAAUAUAAACUGUUCAAUACAUGAAAAAAUAUUAUAACGGGUGAAAAAUAGAUUUAAGAAAAAUUUCUACUGAGUAACGGGUCAUAAUUUGAAAUAUUUAUAUUCAAUUUCAUACAUAUUACAUUGAAAAUUUAUAAUCUUAUAUACUACAAUAAUUAAUAACAUAUUAGAUGUGAUUCAAUUUUUAAUACAAGCUUUUUAAUACAAGCUGGAAAAUCGUAGAAUUGACGGGUUUAGAUCGAUAUUAAUACAAGAUAGAAUACUACAGGUAAAACUCUUAAAUUAACAAUCAAACUACAAGUGAAUAAUCUUAAACACUAAACAAUAUAGAUAAUAUCAACAAAACAGAUACAACUCAUAGUUUACUAUACAUUUAAAAUAAAAUAAAAUAAUAUCAUAUAUUUUUAAAUCAUCUUUACAAUAAAAGUUUUUAGUUUAACUAAAAUAUAAGCUUACCUGCGGUAUACUGCAGGUUAAUAUCUAGAUUAUAGGGCUUAUUGGAUCUAAAGACGGGUCAUCAAAGAUUUCCUAAACUGAAGCAAAAUAUACUGAAUAUUCAAAUAUCUAUCUGUUACCAAAUUAUAAACAAAUAAGUCAAUUUAAUAUUUUAUAUACGAAAUCAAUUAAAUCUUAAUCACAUUAAAAUUAGCACAAAAAAAAAGUAUUCAACAAUUAAAAAAUUAUCAAAUCUCUGUGUUAUAUAAGUUUUGAUACUAUAUUCGAAUAAUGUAAUAUACCUUUUCAAUUUGUAUUCUUUAACUAAUUUAAGCUAACUAAUAUAUUUGCUAAUCUUAUACCUAUCAAAACCGACUAUCGUUUCUUAUCUCUAUAGUAUUUUUGCAAGACUUUUUUGGUGGAUUUGGAUAAAAGUGCAUUCGGGUCAUAUGGUACAUUCCCCUAUUAAAUAAAUAUGGUGCACUCAUAUGUUAUUAGCUAAAAUGUUUAGAAUAUAAUUCAGAGGCAUAUCAUUAAUAAAAUUAAUAUUAAUAAAAUAAAUAACUUUUUAGCAAGACGAAUUUGGAAGGACGGGUUUUUGAAUCAACAUUAAUAAAAAAGUAAAAUAUAAUUAAUCCACUGUUUCAAUACGGGUUAAAUCUUUAAUUUAUUAUUUUUUAAGACCACUAAUAUUAAACAUAUCAAAUCAUCCUAAUUUAGAAAAGAUUAUAUAAAACUAAAAAUGUUAUGUGGUAUGUAUAAUGUUAGUAUAUAUAAAAUUAAA
rnacentral:sRNA from 1 species